CACGUAGGGUGCGAGCGUUGUCCGGAAUUAUUGGGCGUAAAGAGCUCGUAGGCGGUGUGUCGCGUCGGCCGUGAAAACCUGCAGCUUAACUGUGGGCUUGCGGUCGAUACGGGCAUCACUGGAGUUCGGCAGGGGAGACUGGAAUUCCUGGUGUAGCGGUGAAAUGCGCAGAUAUCUGGAGGAACACCGGUGGCGAAGGCGGCAUCCUGGACCAAUUCUGACGCUGAGGAGCGAAAGCCAGGGGAGCAAACGGG
rnacentral:rRNA from 1 species